rnacentral:rRNA from 1 species
UACGGGGGGGCAAGCGUUGUUCGGAAUUACUGGGCGUAAAGGCUCGUAGGUGGCCAACUAAGUCAGACGUGAAAUCCCUCAGCUUAACUGGGAACUGCGUCUGAUACUGGAUGGCUUGAGUUUGGGAGAGGGAUGCGGAAUUCCAGGUGUAGCGGUGAAAUGCGUAGAUAAUCUGGAGGAACACCGGUGGCGAAGGCGGCAGUCCUGGACCAACACUGGACACUGAGGAGCGAAAGCCAGG